GGGCAGAUAGCUCAGUUGGUAGAGCAACGGACUCUUAAUCCGUGGACUCUUAAUCCGUGGGUCCAGGGUUCGAGCCCCUGUCUGCCCA
rnacentral:tRNA from 1 species